GACGAACGCUGGCGGCGUGCUUAACACAUGCAAGUCGAACGGAAAGGCCCCUUUGGGGGUACUCGAGUGGCGAACGGGUGAGUAACACGUGAGUAACCUGCCCUUGACUUCGGGAUAACUUCAGGAAACUGGGGCUAAUACCGGAUAGGAAUCCUUGCUGCAUGGUGGGGGUUGGAAAGCUUCGGCGGUAUUGGAUGGACUCGCGGCUUAUCAGCUUGUUGGUGGGGUAGUGGCUUACCAAGGCUUUGACGGGUAGCCGGCCUGAGAGGGCGACCGGCCACAUUGGGACUGAGAUACGGCCCAGACUCCUACGGGAGGCAGCAGUGGGGAAUAUUGCACAAUGGGCGGAAGCCUGAUGCAGCAACGCCGCGUGCGGGAUGACGGCCUUCGGGUUGUAAACUGCUUUCAGCAGGGGCGAAGCUUUUGUGACGGUACCUGCAGAAGAAGCACCGGCUAACUACGUG
rnacentral:rRNA from 1 species